rnacentral:rRNA from 1 species
AGAACGACGCUGGCGGCGCGUUUAAGCAUGCAAGUCGAGCGGCAAGGGCCUUCGGGCCCCUAGAGCGGCGGACGGGUGAGUAACACGUGGACAAUCUGCCCCCCGGCCCGGGAUAGCCCAGGGAAACCUGGGAUUAAUACCGGAUGAGACGGGACCCGCGAUGGCGGGACCCGGGAAAGGCGCUGCGGCGCCGCCGGGGGAUGAGUCUGCGUCCCAUUAGCUAGACGGCGGGGUAACGGCCCACCGUGGCGACGAUGGGUAGCCGGCCUGAGAGGGUGGACGGCCACAUUGGAACUGAGACACGGUCCAGACUCCUACGGGAGGCAGCAGCUAAGAAUCUUCCGCAAUGGGCGAAAGCCUGACGGAGCGACGCCCGCGUGAACGAAGAAGGCCGUGAGGUUGUAAAGUACUUUCAGCGGGGAGGAAGGGGUUAAGGUUAAUAACCUUAGCCAUUGACGUUACCCGCAGAAGAAGCACCGGCUAACUCCGUGCCAGCAGCUGC